rnacentral:lncRNA from 10 species
GGAUAUAUUUAUUUCUAAUAAUGCUCCUGGCUCCACGCUUCCAGAUGGACAGUCCCAAAGAGAAUGGUUUGUUUCCUUUCGUCUUCCUCCACGAUGCAUUUUACGAUUGCAGAGGGUCCUGCUUGCCAUGUGUUUGCUUCUAAUCUACUCGUUUAUGGAACGCACACGCUGUGCCAGGCAUUGUGCACAGAGAGACCCAGUUCCUGCCCUCUUGGAGUUUAUAUGACAUGAGCUGAAGACAGACAAGAAGCAAAUAGAGAAACUGAGGCACAGAGAGGCAAAGCACUUUUCCUAAAUUUGCACAGCUGGUGGGUGACCAAGCUGGAAUUUGAACCUAGCACCCGGCCUCUCGGGUCUGCCAUCCUGCCCCUCUGAGGGAAGCACUUCUGAUCUCCAUGUCUCUGGUGCCAUUCACUCAAGUAAUUACUAAUUAAAUUUCAUAACUAACCCUGCAG